rnacentral:rRNA from 1 species
CGCGUAGGCGGCCGAAUAAGUCUGACGUGAAAUCCCCCGGCCCAACCGGGGAACUGCGUUUGAUACUGUUCGGCUCGAGUCCGGGAGAGGGUAGUGGAAUUCCCAGUGUAGCGGUGAAAUGCGUAGAUAUUGGGAGGAACACCGGUGGCGAAGGCGGCUACCUGGACCGGUACUGACGCUGAGGCGCGAAAGCUAGGGUAGCAAACA